rnacentral:rRNA from 1 species
GUGGCCAAGCAUAUAAGGGCGUGUGGGGGAUGUCUUGGCGUCAGAAGGCGAUGAAGGGCGUAGAAGGCUGCGAUAAGCCCGGGGAAGCUGUCAAACGAGCAUUGAUCCCGGGAUUCCCGAAUGACCGUACGCUGAAUACAUAGGCGUGCGGAGCGAACGUGGGGAACUGAAACAUCUAAGUACCCAUAGGAAAAGAAAGCAAAAGCGACUUCCCUAGUAGCGGCGAGCGAAAAGGAAACAGCCCAAACCGUCGGCUUGUCCGGCGGGGUUGUGGGGCUCACAUAUGGAGUUACAAAACUGCCGACUAGAAGAAUCCGCUGGAAUGCGGAACCACAGGGGGUGAAAGUCCCGUAAUCGAAAGUUGAGCAGUCUCCGUGAGGUUCCCCGAGUAGGGCCGGUCACGUGAAACCCGGCUUGAAUCCAGGAGGCCCAUCUCCUAAGGCUAAGUACUCUCUGACGACCGAUAGUGAAAAGUAGCGCGAGCGAACGAUGAAAAGCACCCCGGAAGGGGAGUUAAAAGGACCUGAAACCACACGCUUACAAGCUGUCGUAGCACAUUGUUGUGUAACGGCGUGCCUUUUGCAUAAUGAUCCGGCGAGUUACCGUCGACGGCCUGGUUAAAGCCUUCAGGGCUGAAGCCUCAGGGAAACCGAGUCUGAAUAGGGCGUUUUGUCGGCGGCGGUAGACGCGAAACCCGGUGAUCUACCCAUGGGCAGGUUGAAGCGCGGGUAAGACUGCGUGGAGGACCGAACUCACAAAUAUUGAAAAAUUUGGGGAUGACCUGUGGGGAGGAGUAAAAGUCUAAUCAAACCGGGAGAUAGCUCGUUCUCUCCGAAAUAACUUUAGGGUUAGCCUCGAGCAACUACAAAAUGGGGGUAGAGCUACUGACUUGGUUUGGGGCCCUUCCCAGGGUACCCUGCCUAUCCAAACUCCGAAUACCAUUUUGACUAUCUCGGGAGUUAGUCCACGUGGGAGAAGCUGCGUGGUCGAGAGGGAAACAACCCAGAUCGCCUGCUAAGGUCCCUAAAAUUUGCUGAGUCACAAAGGAUGUCUGAGUACUGUGACAGCCGGGAUGUUGGCUUAGAAGCAGCCACCAUUUAAAAAGUGCGUAAUAGCUUACCGGUCGAGUAUUCUGGCACCGAUAAUGAACGGGAGUAAGCAAAUUGCCGAAGCAGCGGGCUCGAAAGAGCGGUAGGAGAGCGUCCUGACUGCAUUGAAGCCAUACCGUAAGGAUUGGUGGAGCGCUCAGGAGUGAUUAUGCCGGAAUGAGUAACGAUAAAGCAGGUGAGAAUCCUGCUCGCCGUAAACCUAAGGUUUCCUGGGGAAGGUAAAUCCGCCCAGGGUUAGCCGGUCCCUUAGUCGAGGCCGAAAGGCGUAGACGAUGGAAAGCAGGUUAAUAUUCCUGCGCCGCAUAUGGAGGACGUUGUGUGAAUCGAGGUCGGGGUGCUGGUCAUCCCCGUGCCGCAAGGCCGAGCCCGUUUGAUGGUGAAGCCUCCUGAAACACAACCAAGAAAAGCCCAUAUAACAGCGACCGUACUAAAACUGACACAGGUAGGUGAGGCGCGUAGCCUCAGGCGCUCGGGAAAACGCUGGUUAAGGAAC